GUGCCAGCCGCCGCGGUAAUACGUAGGUGGCAAGCGUUAUCCGGAAUUAUUGGGCGUAAAGCGCGCGUAGGCGGUUUUUUAAGUCUGAUGUGAAGGCCCACGGCUCAGCCGUGGAGGGUCAUUGGAAACUGGAAAACUUGAGUGCAGAAGAGGAAAGUGGAAUUCCAUGUGUAGCGGUGAAAUGCGCAGAGAUAUGGAGGAACACCAGUGGCGAAGGCGACUUUCUGGUCUGUAACUGACGCUGAUGUGCGAAAGCGUGGGGAUCAAACAGGAU
rnacentral:rRNA from 1 species